CCUACGGGGGGCAGCAGUGAGGAAUAUUGGUCAAUGGACGAGAGUCUGAACCAGCCAAGUAGCGUGAAGGAUGACUGCCCUAUGGGUUGUAAACUUCUUUUAUAUGGGAAUAAAAUGUUCCACGUGUGGGAUUUUGUAUGUACCAUAUGAAUAAGGAUCGGCUAACUCCGUGCCAGCAGCCGCGGUAAUACGGAGGAUCCGAGCGUUGUCCGGAUUGAUUGGGUUUAAAGGGAGCGUAGGUGGAUUGUUAAGUCAGUUGUGAAAGUUUGCGGCUCAACCGUAAAAUUGCAGUUGAAACUGGCAGUCUUGAGUACAGUAGAGGUGGGCGGAAUUCGUGGUGUAGCGGUGAAAUGCUUAGAUAUCACGAAGAACUCCGAUUGCGAAGGCAGCUCACUGGACUGCAACUGACACUGAGGCUCGAAAGUGUGGGUAUCAAACAGGAUUAGAUACCCGGGUAGUC
rnacentral:rRNA from 1 species